GUCCCUGUAGCACAAUGGAUAGUUUGUUGGAUUUCUCAUUCAAAGGCUGUGGGUUCGAAUCCCACCUAGGAUG